rnacentral:rRNA from 1 species
CAGCAGCCACGGGAAUACGGAGGGUGCAAGCGUUAAUCGGAAUUACUGGGCGUAAAGCGCACGCAGGCGGUCUGACAAGUCAGAUGUGAAAUCCCCGGGCUUAACCUGGGAACUGCAUUUGAAACUGUCAGGCUGGAGUCUUGUAGAGGGGGGUGGAAUUCCAGGUGUAGCGGUGAAAUGCGUAGAGAUCUGGAGGAAUACCGGUGGCGAAGGCGGCCCCCUGGACAAAGACUGACGCUCAGGUGCGAAAGCGUGGGGAGCAAACAGGAUUAGAUACCCGCGUAGUCCCUGUCUCUUAUAC